rnacentral:rRNA from 1 species
CUACGGGUGACUGCAGUGAGGAAUAUUGCACAAUGGGGGGAACCCUGAUGCAGCAACGCCGCGUGGAGGAUGACGCAUUUCGGUGUGUAAACUCCUUUUAUAUGUCAAGAAAAUGACGGUAGCAUAUGAAUAAGCACCGGCUAACUCCGUGCCAGCAGCCGCGGUAAUACGGAGGGUGCGAGCGUUACUCGGAAUCACUGGGCGUAAAGGACGCGUAGGCGGGUUGGAAAGUCAGGUGUGAAAUCCUACAGCCUAACUGUAGAACUGCACUUGAAACUUCUAAUCUAGAGUAUGGGAGGGGGAGAUGGAAUUAGUGGUGUAGGGGUAAAAUCCGUAGAUAUCACUAGGAAUACCUAAAGCGAAGGCGAUCUCCUGGAACAUUACUGACGCUAAGGCGUGAAAGCGUGGGGAGCAAACAGGAUUAGAUACCCCAGUAGUC